CAGCCGCCACGGGAAUACGUAGGUGGCAAGCGUUGUCCGGAAUUAUUGGGCGUAAAGGGCUCGCAGGCGGCUUCUUAAGUCUGAUGUGAAAGCCCCCGGCUCAACCGGGGAGGGUCAUUGGAAACUGGGAAACUUGAGUGCAGAAGAGGAGAGUGGAAUUCCACGUGUAGCGGUGAAAUGCGUAGAGAUGUGGAGGAACACCAGUGGCGAAGGCGACUCUCUGGUCUGUAACUGACGCUGAGGAGCGAAAGCGUGGGGAGCGAACAGGAUUAGAUACCCCAGUAGUCCCUGUCUCUUAUAC
rnacentral:rRNA from 1 species